rnacentral:SRP_RNA from 1 species
AACUCUUCUAGACCUGUGCAAGGGUGUGGACGGACAACGUGUCAGGGUAGGAAUACAGCAGCACACCCGUUCAUGUUUUGUGCCGCAGGUAUCUGGGAGAGCCACUUUUU